AGCGUUAAUCGGAAUUACUGGGCGUAAAGCGUGCGCAGGCGGUUUCGUAAGACAGACGUGAAAUCCCCGGGCUCAACCUGGGAACUGCGUUUGUGACUGCGAGGCUAGAGUACGGCAGAGGGGGGUAGAAUUCCACGUGUAGCAGUGAAAUGCGUAGAGAUGUGGAGGAAUACCGAUGGCGAAGGCAGCCCCCUGGGUUAGUACUGACGCUCAUGCACGAAAGCGUGGGGAGCAAACAGGAUUAGAUACCCUGGUAGUCCACGCCCUAAACGAUGUCAACUAGGUGUUGGAAGGGUUAAACCUUUUAGUACCGCAGCUAACGCGUGAAGUUGACCGCCUGGGGAGUACGGCCGCAAGGUUAAAACUCAAAGGAAUUGACGGGGACCCGCACAAGCGGUGGAUGAUGUGGAUUAAUUCGAUGCAACGCGAAAAACCUUACCUACCCUUGACAUGCCAGGAACUUUCCAGAGAUGGAUUGGUGCCCGAAAGGGAGCCUGGACACAGGUGCUGCAUGGCUGUCGUCAGCUCGUGUCGUGAGAUGUUGGGUUAAGUCCCGCAACGAGCGCAACCCUUGUCAUUAAUUGCCAUCAUUCAGUUGGGCACUUUAAUGAGACUGCCGGUGACAAACCGGAGGAAGGUGGGGAUGACGUCAAGUCCUCAUGGCCCUUAUGGGUAGGGCUUCACACGUCAUACAAUGGUCGGUACAGAGGGUUGCCAAGCCGCGAGGUGGAGCCAAUCCCAGAAAGCCGAUCGUAGUCCGGAUCGCAGUCUGCAACUCGACUGCGUGAAGUCGGAAUCGCUAGUAAUCGCGGAUCAGCAUGUCGCGGUGAAUACGUUCCCGGGUCUUGUACACACCGCCCGUCACACCAUGGGAGUGGGUUCUACCAGAAGUAGUUAGCCUAACCGUAAGGAGGGCGAUUACCACGGUAGGAUUCAUGACUGGGGUGAAGUCGUAACAAGGUAGCCG
rnacentral:rRNA from 1 species